rnacentral:misc_RNA from 1 species
UUUACAUUUUACAGCUGGAUAUGUGUCGUUUAAUAAAUUUCUUUGUUUUUCUAGCAUAUUAAUUUUUUAAAGAAUUUUUGGCGGAAUUCCUUUCUCAUGUAUAAACUACUUAUAGUCAACAAAGUGCAUCCGAAAUCUUAAAGCAACUUUUGGCGUAUUAUUAGAACAACUUUAAGACAAUUCCUGAACGUGAACGGAUGCAGAUAGACAACAGUAUAACAUGGAUGAUUGCUGUAGUAAUGAAAUGCGCAGUCAAACCUUCCAUAAUGUGUUGAAAACAGUAUUAGAUUCAAAAGUUGUCAACAUCCAAGUUUUUACCGUGGCCGUUGGUAUCCUAUUUAUUGUAAUUCUACUAAAAAAUCGUUUUCGCAGUUUCUGUGGCACUUAACUAAACAAUAGCGUAAUAAGGACUGGAGUUCUGUGGUGAUGUGUAAAACCGGACAUGUAUUGGAAUGUAUGUAGGUGUAUAGAUUAAUUUGUUCAUAAAUAUAAACGAAGUACUUGACAUUGGAGCAAACCGUGUAUGUAUGUGUUAAA